AUGUCUAACUACUCCAGUCUGCUAUCCCAAGUAUUUUUUAUUUCAUUAUAUCGUCAUUAGUUUACCACCUACUAGCAAUUUGAAUUCGCGAAAAAAGUGGACGUGUCAAAUUUUCGGGGUUAUAUGGUUUCUAGGUUGCCAUCUUGGACUAGUAAUAUCCCACCCAUUGGUGCACCCACAGCCAAGAAGCAUUGGUAUUUUGGGGUUCUUUGCGUUUGGCAGUUACAGGAAGUUUUAAAGUGUUCGACUGCGAUCGUUUUGUUGCAGUCUCUGGCCUUCUGGGUGAAGGCCUCACGCGCCGGCUGUUUCUGUUCUUGCUAGGUCCAGUGGGUAUUGCAUUUUGGGUUUUGUGGUUGGUUGCCAUGCCAUAAGG